GAUGAAGAACGUAGCGAAAUGCGAUAAGUAGUGUGAAUUGCAGAAUUCCGUGAAUCAUUGAAUCUUUGAACGCACAUUGCGCCUCCUGGUAAUCCGUGAGGCAUGCCUGUCCGAGCGUCAGUAAAAAGCAACUCGGCCGCGGCUGGCGGUUGGUGAUGGAGGAAGAGCACGUCUCGUUGUCGGUCUCCCCUCCCAAAAUCAACGGCGGAAUGUCACUGGCACUCGGUGUUGUAGUAUUAUUCGCCGAUCACCCAUUGUUGUUCCUGCCGCCCAAACCCCCACAAUUCUCUUGAUUGACCUCGGAUCAGGUAGGGAUACCCGCUGAACUUAAGCAUAUCAAAAGCGGGGA
rnacentral:misc_RNA from 1 species